GCUUGGGGAUGAUGACCAAAAAGGCCGAAUUGCAGCACCCCCCUGGGCAGUUUGCUCUCUACAGAGGGGUGCCAUGACAAAUCUCCUUGAAGCGAAAUCCUGGCUGACCCAGC